GACGAACGCUGGCGGCGUGCUUAACACAUGCAAGUCGAACGGCAAGGCCCUGCUUUUGUGGGGUGCUCGAGUGGCGAACGGGUGAGUAACACGUGAGUAACCUGCCCUUGACUUUGGUAUAACUUCAGGAAACUGGGGCUAAUACCGUAUAGGAGCUCCUGCUGCAUGGUGGGGGUUGGAAAGUUUCGGCGGGUGGGGAUGGACUCGCGGCUUAUCAGCUUGUUGGUGGGGUAGUGGCUUACCAAGGCUUUGACGGGUAGCCGGCCUGAGAGGGUGACCGGCCACAUGGGGACUGAGAUACGGCCCAGACUCCUACGGGAGGCAGUAGGGGGGAAUAUUGCACAAUGGGCGGAAGCCUGAUGCAGCAACGCCGCGUGCGGGAUGACGGCCUUCGGGUUGUAAACCGCUUUCGCCUGUGACGAAGCGUGAGUGACGGUAAUGGGUAAAGAAGCACCGGCUAACUACGUG
rnacentral:rRNA from 1 species